rnacentral:rRNA from 1 species
UACGUAGGGGGCAAGCGUUGUCCGGAAUCAUUGGGCGUAAAGCGCGUGUAGGCGGCCCGGUAAGUCCGCUGUGAAAGUCGGGGGCUCAACCCUCGAAUGCCGGUGGAUACUGUCGGGCUAGAGUGCGGGAGAGGCGAGUGGAAUUCCUGGUGUAGUGGUGAAAUGCGUAGAGAUCGGCAGGAACACCCAGGGGGAAACCAGUCGACUGGGCAGCACCUGACGCUGAGGUGCGAGAGCGUGGGGAGCGAACCGG